CCUAAACCCCUUAGUUGUUAAAUUCAGGUAGCAAAAGCAAUAAACUUUGUUACCCCUUUACUCUUCUUUCUCAUCACAUUGCCUUGUUGCCUUAAAAUAGCUAAAAAAACAAACCCCUUUUUUUUCUUACUGGAAAAAUGGAGCUGUUAAGGCCUGCCAUGAACAGGGGUUUGAACAGAGGGUAUCCAGAUAUUUUGAUUGUGAUGAUUGCAGAGAAGUGGCAGAUAAUGAAUGGUAAGGCCGUAAGGGCAAAGAAGAUCAGUAUUCAAAGAU
rnacentral:lncRNA from 1 species